rnacentral:rRNA from 1 species
UGAACGCUGGCGGCGUGCCUAACACAUGCAAGUCGAACGGGUUAAGUGAAAUUUCGGAUGGAUCUUAACUUAGUGGCGGACGGUGAGUAACGCGUGGAUAACCUGCCUCACACAGGGGGAUAGCAGCUGGAAACGGCUGGUAAUACCGCAUAAGACCACGGCCCCGCAUGGGGCUGUAGUAAAAGAUUUAUCGGUGUGAGAUGGAUCCGCGUCUGAUUAGCCAGUUGGCGGGGUAACGGCCCACCAAGCGACGAUCAGUAGCCGGCCUGAGAGGGUGAACGGCCACAUUGGGACUGAGACACGGCCCAAACUCCUACGGGAGGCAGCAGUGGGGAAUAUUGCACAAUGGGCGCAAGCCUGAUGCAGCAACGCCGCGUGAAGUGAAGAAGUAUUUCGGUAUGUAAAGCUCUAUCAGCAGGGAAGAAAGGCUCUUCGGAGAGAUGACGGUACCUGACUAAGAAGCCCCGGCUAACUACGUGCCAGCCGCAGC